rnacentral:rRNA from 1 species
UUGGGGGGGGGAGGGGGGAGCCCCAGGGGGGGUUUUUUUUCUGGGGGGGGGGGCCUCGGAGGGAUCAUUACCGAGUUUACAACUCCCAAAACCCAAUGUGAACGUUACCAAACUGUUGCCUCGGCGGGAUCUCUGCCCCGGGUGCGUCGCAGCCCCGGACCAAGGCGCCCGCCGGAGGACCAACCUAAAACUCUUUUUGUAUACCCCCUCGCGGGUUUUUUAUAAUCUGAGCCUUCUCGGCGCCUCUCGUAGGCGUUUCGAAAAUGAAUCAAAACUUUCAACAACGGAUCUCUUGGUUCUGGCAUCGAUGAAGAACGCAGCGAAAUGCGAUAAGUAAUGUGAAUUGCAGAAUUCAGUGAAUCAUCGAAUCUUUGAACGCACAUUGCGCCCGCCAGUAUUCUGGCGGGCAUGCCUGUCCGAGCGUCAUUUCAACCCUCGAACCCCUCCGGGGGGUCGGCGUUGGGGAUCGGCCCUCCCUUAGCGGGUGGCCGUCUCCGAAAUACAGUGGCGGUCUCGCCGCAGCCUCUCCUGCGCAGUAGUUUGCACACUCGCAUCGGGAGCGCGGCGCGUCCACAGCCGUUAAACACCCAACUUCUGAAAUGUGACCUCGGAUCAGGUAGGAAUCCCCGAUU